GAUGAACGCUGGCGGCGUGCCUAAUACAUGCAAGUAGAACGCUGAAGGAAGGAGCUUGCUCUUUCCGGAUGAGUUGCGAACGGGUGAGUAACGCGUAGGUAACCUGCCUGGUAGCGGGGGAUAACUAUUGGAAACGAUAGCUAAUACCGCAUAACAGUAGAUGUUGCAUGAUAUCUACUUAAAAGGUGCAAUUGCACCACUACCAGAUGGACCUGCGUUGUAUUAGCUAGUUGGUGAGGUAACGGCUCACCAAGGCGACGAUACAUAGCCGACCUGAGAGGGUGAUCGGCCAGACUGGGACUGAGACACGGCCCAGACUCCUACGGGAGGCAGCAGUAGGGAAUCUUCGGCAAGGGACGGAAGUCUGACCGAGCAACGCCGCGUGAGUGAAGAAGGUUUUCGGAUCGUAAAGCUCUGUUGUAAGAGAAGAACGAGUGUGAGAGUGGAAAGUUCACACUGUGACGGUAUCUGACCAGAAAGGGACGGCUAACUACGUG
rnacentral:rRNA from 1 species